AUAACAAGGGAUUUGGGGCAACAAACCAACAGUGAAAAUCAUUUUUGCUAGCAGCCCACUUAAGUAACUUGCAACAAACAUCGGUUUUUGCUCGUGGUAAGGAGCACUGACUAUGGGAUGAAAUUCCCUAUGUUAAAAUCUCGCACCGAUCUUAUCUUCUCCUACUUUCACGAUCUUAUCUCCUCCCACUCUCACUUGGACUCUCCCUGUCCUUCCCCACCUCUCCUCUUCCCUUCCCCUACCCUGUGCCCCCACGUUCUCCCUCACCUCUUGUCUUCCCUCCCCAACCCUGUGGCCCCACCUCACCCCUCUCUGACUUCUCUUCACGUCAGUGACCACGGUGGACCGGUGACGGCGGCGACAACGGUGGACUACGAGGGGCGUGGGCCGUGGAUCCUCGGCCAGGAGGGGCGCAGGCGUGGUGGAUUCGGCCGCCACAGGGCCACGGGUGGUAAAUCCUAUCGUCAGAGGGCCACGUCUCGAGGUUCACUCGAAGACAGCGGACGCAGCAGCGACGGCGAUGGCGACGGGUGGCAGAUCCGGUGGUGCGAUGGUUGUAUACCGGCUAUACCCUCCCUCUCCCAUAUUUGGCCGUAGGGAGAUGGCGGUGGCAGUAGCCGAGGGGUUGGCAGAGAAUGGAGGAUCCUCAAAUCUCCAACCUCCAUUCUUGUGGCAUCCUCAAUCUACUGGAAUAUAUAUUUCACUGAAAGGCAAAGUUCUGUCAUAUCAUACUCAACUGUCUCUCCUUUUCUGGUCAAAAUUCACGAUGGAGAUUUGGUCUAUAGCUUCUGUUACAACACUUCAAUAGGGUGAAAAUGAAUGAAAAUGUGUGCGGCCCGGUGACAGGUAGCUGUCGAUGGGCGGCGCUAGGCCUUGUGACCAGUGGGUGAGCAGCUAGUUCGGGGAGGGCGCUGAGACUCAGUUGGGCGUGAUUGAAUGCGUGGGUCGAUCGGCGACAACGUUGGCCGGAGAUGCGAGGUGGUCAGUGGCAGUGAGUGAUGGAGUAAAACCUGAUGAUUGUGAUGGCUGGAGGCGGCACACGGUGGGAUCUCGCCAAAGCUGCUUGCCAAGGGAUGUCGAGGAGGUCAACAACCGGAACAAAAUGACCUGGUGGCUUGCUGGGAGGUUGGGGGAGGAUGGCAAUGACGCGCGAGGGAUGAUGACGAUGGCGUGCCAUCGAGAAUUUCCCUCACCAAUAAAAACAAGAGGAUGGGGCAUGUAAGGUUGAGCCUCCGGGACUUGUAGUUUGGAGAGGUGAUUUAGGGGCUUCCCCAUAUUGAGGGCUCUAGUAGGGACCCUGCUGGACCUGUACUUUUGAUAUCAACCGUAAAAGAAUAUUUGGGGACUAUAUUUGAGGAUCCCGCUGGAGAUGCUCUUACGACCCUGAACACUAUUAUGAUCCACACCUUGAAUCAUACUCCACCUUGUAGGAUCGAACAAUAUGAAGCAAACGAAUCAGAGGGGUGUGAAUUGUUGUAGUACCCAAAAACCAAACCUUCCAGAGGAAUAAAAAAUUAGAUAGCGAUCGGUGAAUUCGCUCUGGUCUGACUGCCCACCAUGUCGUUGUUGCCUCUCGCCGCUGCCAAUCUGACUGCCAUAUUCCCACUGGUCUGACCGCGCCGGUGUCGUCGGUCUGACCACCGGUGUUCCAUAAAUCGAAAAUCUCCCAAAUUAGAUUGAAUCUUUAUUACUUCUCUAUGUGUUUACAAAGUGGAACAACAACACUCCUCACGGAAAUCUCGACUAAACACGAAACUCUAACUUUUCUCACAACGCAACUCUCUCAAAAUCGAUACCGGGAGGCCAUACCCUCACUCUCUUUAUACCCAUGGUAGGCAUCCUAAAUCCACGAACCAACCUUGUACAAGAUGUCCUAAUCCCCUAGGAAACCUUCACGUACAAGAAACGGACAUUACAAACUCCAAUUGUACUAAAUUUGGACUACUCCAAAUUUGACUCCACCUCUCAUACGCACACAAUAUCUCCAUCGUAUACCAUAUAGAAUCUUCACCAACCAUAUGCAUUGAUGUCAAAGCUUGACUACUUCAACAUCUCUGGCCCGAGAGACAGUGUGUGAAGACCUGAUGGACCGUUGGUGCCUACAGGGACUAUACAUGUGAGACCAUCGUUAUACAGUAAAGGGGCGGGGAACGGUUAACGGACACUAAUGUGUGAAUGGAGAGAUUGUUGAAUCGUCCCCCACAUUGAUUUUGGAUGGUCAAGAGACCUAAUAAGUGGGGGAGCACCAUAAUUCAUUGGCUAUCUUUUAGGUGGGAAAAGCUUUUUAUGAUUCUAUAGAACCCAGCUGUACCGAACAACGCAAUCAAUUCUUAUAUACGUGGCAUUCCUUACUCUACUUAUAUAUGACAAGACAGGAAGAACAGGAUGUGAAGGAGAUAAAGAAAUUCGAUAGAACAUCAAUGGGUUCUUGCCGUGGUAGCUAGGAUGCAAAUCCUCUACAGUACUGCUGAUGCAGUAGCAGUGGUUGACAUGUGGGUCCGGGCCCACAUGUCAGUGUCUGCUACUGCAUCACUGUGGUAGCUAGGGUUGGGAGUAACCGGGAACCAUCUUAUUACACACAACCAUCUUCCUACAAAAUUCUCAGCUGAUUAUUUGUCAGGUUAGUAGGCUUCAGUAUGCACAUCUACCCGUCACGGUUCAUUGAUUAUAUUGAUCUCAGAAGGACGGUACAGCAUAGAUUAGUGGAAAUUUCAAAAUAGGCACAAUUGCAUCCAUACCCUCACUUUGAACUCUAACUACUGUUUUACCCCCCACAUUUUAGGGUUUGCAUUUUUCCCUCUCUUUUUGAAUAUGAACCAAUUGUUUACCCUCAUUUUUAACGUCUAGUUUAAUAGUGUUAGUUUUAGAACAAAAGGACAUUUAUACCCUUAGUUGAUGUUGCUUUUUUGCCCCAACUUUUAUACUGCCUGCUUCUCGUGCCGGAAGCCCCGUUGCCGUCUGCCUCGCCGCGCCGGAAGCCCCACGGCCGCCACAGGCCAUCGCCACGCCGGAAGCUCCACAACCGUCGCCUGCCAUUGCCGUGCAAGUGAGAUGGAAGCCUGCGACUGCCGCCUACCUCACCGCACAAGGGAGAGGGAAGUGUAGCCGCCGCUACACCGGAGACCUGUCGUCGACUCGCGCUCAACUGCUGCCGCGGCCAUCGCCGCAUGCACUUCCUGACAGAACUGCCGCGCACGCUGGAAUCGACACCAUCGCGGCGGUUCCCGCCCUCGCCGCGCAUGUCGGAACCGCCACCGUCGCCGAGCACACCGAAGCCGUUGCCGGUCGCCGCCUCAACACAACUGAGCUCAGCGAAGGAAUGGGCUUGGGUCCUUAUCCAUUCACUCAAGGGUACAAUAGUAAAUUAAAUCCUUUUUCUGUUUCAAUUUGUAUUUUUUUAACCCAAAGCCAUGGGUGUCAUCUAACGGGUGUCAAGAGUGAGGGCAAACGGCGUGUUCGUUUUCAAAAAGAGGUGGCAAAAAUGCAAACCCUAAAAAGUAGGGGUAAAAUAGCAGUUGACAUUCAAAAUGAGGGCAUGGAUGCAAUUGCCCCUUAAAAAUAUAAGUAAAAACACUUCAAGCAAAGUCAAAGUACUCUGCUACUUGCUAACCGAGGACUAUGUCACGGUAAUGAUUCGCCAUACAUUCCACUUGCUCAUGCUUUGCUCCAAGCUUGUGUUUCAUUAUAGAAUUUACUUAUCAUCUGCUCCUCCAUUUGCUUCCCUCUACUCCACUAACUAUUCAAUUUCUUUGUUAUAUGAUGUUGUUUAGUUACAUGACCAGGUGAAGUGUUUUGGGGAUGGACUGAUAAAAGAAUAGCUACUACCCCAAUUUUUUGUUGCUCUGUCAGUAAUGUGUAUGAAGUUCAGUACAUGCAUUCAUUCAUCCCAUUAAACAUCAGAAUCAAACAAGGCGCCCAUUGAACUCGGCUAUACAAUUCUUGAAUGACUGAAAUGUUUAUUAGACGAUAAAUUUCCUCUGUACCAUACCAUCUGAUCUCCUAUGCUCUAUAAAAGAGCAGAUGAAGUGUAGUAGCAACCUGUUUUUCUUGGCUGAUGUUGAGAGAUAUGAACAACAGGAGCUCAUUGUGUUUAGCCAGUCUACUCACUGCUUAGCUUGCUACGUACGGUAGGCCUGGGUGGCAUUGGGACAUCUCACAUAAGCCAGCGGUAAGCUGUUGACUGACCACUCUGCAGUUCCAGUCUCAAGCAAGUUACAGACUCAGAGUACAUCAAUGGACAUGUUUGGUGUUCAAGCCUGAACCAUUUGAUGUUAGCAACCGGUUUCUCCACACCUUGCAGAGUUUUCCAGGGUUGUUUGGUACUUGCUUCUCGAGUGGAUCUGGUCAUCUCAACGUCGAGAAACCCAUCUCCGGUCUACUCAGUUGUCUUGCCUAGGGGAACAUGAACCUUGUAAACUUGGAACAACUGAUUUGGGUGAGGCGGUGGCUGAAUAAGGUUACUUUGUGAUCAUUCGCACGAGCACGGCGGAGCAGAGCAAGACACUUUGACUGAAACGGAGAAGGCAGGGUUGGGUUUCCUUCGCAAAAUUCCAGCAGUCGCCGUCAUCCUCGAAACCUCUCGCCGAUGACACUGUGACGCUCUCCACGAACACAUACGCUUGCAAGCUAGGCGACGCAGCCACACAGCACGGCCUGUGCCAGCAACGAUGUGUGAUAAUUAAUAAGAUUACUGUUGGAGAUCGUCUA